AAUGUAUGACGCCGUUGACUUUUUAUCCAACGUUUGACCAUUCAUCUUAUUCAAAAAAUUUAUGUAAUUAUCAUUUAUUUUAUUAUGACUUGUUUCGUCAUCAAAUGUUCUUUGAGCAUGACAUAAAUAUUUUCAUAUUUACACAAAAAUUUUGAAUGAAACGAAUGGUCAAACGUUGGUCGAAAAGUCAACGGCGUCGUACAUU
rfam:Oryza rufipogon genomic scaffold, chr10